rnacentral:rRNA from 1 species
UAGGGAAUCUUCCGCAAUGGACGCAAGUCUGACGGAGCAACGCCGCGUGAGUGAAGAAGGAUUUCGGUUCGUAAAACUCUGUUGUUAGAGAAGAACAGCGCAUAGAGUAACUGUUAUGCGUGUGACGGUAUCUAACCAGAAAGCCACGGCUAACUACGUGCCAGCAGCCGCGGUAAUACGUAGGUCCCGAGCGUUGUCCGGAUUUAUUGGGCGUAAAGCGAGCGCAGGCGGUUAGAAAAGUCUGAAGUGAAAGGCAGUGGCUCAACCAUUGUAGGCUUUGGAAACUGUUUAACUUGAGUGCAGAAGGGGAGAGUGGAAUUCCAUGUGUAGCGGUGAAAUGCGUAGAUAUAUGGAGGAACACCGGUGGCGAAAGCAGCUCUCUGGUCUGUAACUGACGCUGAGGCUCGAAAGCGUGGGGAGCGAACAGG